rnacentral:rRNA from 1 species
AUGGCGGCGGCGCAGCCAAAUCUCGUCGGCGGCGAGCGAUUGAGCCAAGGCGGCACUGGCGAGGAGGGCGGUGGACCCUCAGAGGUGGACAAAUGGCUAGGCAGCUCGAGCUUCCCGGCGCAGCGGUCGCAGCAGCCAUCACCGCCCGCGGCUCAUGUGGAUCCGGCGAGCUCAGAUCCGGAAGUCCGCGCGGCCGGGCAGUGGCGAAGCGCAUCCACGCUGAUCCAGCAGGCGGCCACCAUUGGGCGUCGUCCUUUGGUGGAGUGA